CAGUCACUCAUUUAGAAAUAUUUAUAAAAUACGAACUAGUAACAGUUACAGUUGUGUUUUGAACAUGUUGUAUAGACUUGCUCAAUUCAGGCCCUCAGAGAAGACUUGCUUUCAACAAAAAGAUAAAAAGAAAAAGUUUCUUUCAAAAAAAGAGAGAGAGAGAGAGAGAGAGAAAGCGAGAAGACACCCAGAUAUAGUAGUGGUUUUGGACUCCCGUUUCUGUCUCUCUCACAACUCCAAAAACUCACACACACAGUCUCAGUUUUCAUCUCUCACUCUCUCGUCAGCCAUAAACAUGCACUUCAGCUAGACAAUUCCACAAACACCUCAUACACUCUCUCUCUCACUGUCUUCACUCUCAAACCCCCCCAUCACCAUGUAAACAACUCCCACACUUUCAAAACCCAUAUCACAAACCAAAAACCCAACUCACUCCCUCACUCUCUAACACUCAAUUCCCAUGGCUUCCACGUGCUCACCCCACACCGACCCUCCAACUCUCCCUUUACAAAGCGAUGAAAACAUAGCUGCCAAAGCCUUGAGCAAACGCUACGAAGGCUUAGUCACUGUUCGAACCAAAGCCAUCAAAGGCAAAGGAGCUUGGUAUUGGACUCACUUGGAACCCAUUCUUGUCAAAAACCCAGAUACCAACCUUCCAAAAGCCGUGAAGCUCAAGUGCUCUCUAUGCGACGCCGUUUUCUCAGCCUCUAAUCCUUCCAGAACCGCCUCUGAGCACUUGAAACGUGGUACCUGUCCCAAUUUCAACUCUGUUACUGUCUCUUCCACAAAACCCAGUUCCUCUUCUUCGCUCUCUCCAAUACCCAUUUCUUCAAUUCCCUCUUUACACAACAACAAUAACAGCAACAACCAUAGAAAACGAAGCUCUCAAAUGGGUUCCCAUCAUUUUUCGCAUUCAUGCUCUUCUUCUCUAGCUUUGGUUGAAACGCCUUCGUCGCGUUUUUUUCAUAACCAAAACGAGUUUUUGAAUUACUCGCCGAGUAAUUCGGGGGGGCUGAGUCAGCAGCAGCACCACCACCACCACAAUCAAAACCAACACCCUUUGGUGUUAUCUGGUGGGAAAGAUGAUUUGGGUGCUUUAGCAUUGUUGGAAGAUAGUGUGAAAAAGCUUAAGAGUCCUAAAGGUUCAACUGGUCCACCACCAGUUUUAAACAAGGACCAAGUUGAUUCUGGGCUUGAGUUACUAGCAGAAUGGUUCUAUGAGUCAUGUGGGUCUGUGUCAUUUUCGAGUUUAGAGCACCCAAAGUUCAAAAAUUUUCUUAACCAAGUGGGAUUGCCUCCCUUGAGCUUGCGUCGCGAGCUCUCGGGUGCUCGGCUUGAUGCUAAGUUUGAAGAGAUUAAGAGUGAGUCUGAUGCCAGGAUUAGAGAUGCAAUGUUUUUUCAGGUUGCCAGUGAUGGGUGGAAAGGGACUAGUUGCUGUGGAUUUGCUUGUGAGGGAGAGAAUUUGGUUAAGUUUACAGUGAAUCUUCCAAAUGGGAUAAGUGUUUUUCACAAGGCAGUGUUCACAGGAGGGAUGGUGUCGUCGAAGUAUGCAGAGGAGGUUUUGUGCGAGGCGGUGAAGGGUGUGUGUGGGAAUUCUGUGCAGCAGAGAUGUGUAGGGAUAGUUGCAGAUAAGUAUAAGGCCAAGGCAUUGAGGAAUUUGGAGGUUCAGAAUCAUUGGAUGGUAAAUCUCUCUUGUCAGCUUCAAGGGUUUGUUAGUUUGAUCAAGGAUUUUAAUAAAGAGCUCCCACUUUUUAGGACUGUUACUGAGGCAUGCGUAAAGAUUGCAAAUUAUGUAAAUACUAAUUCUCAAGUUAGGAAUGCUUUCCUCAGGUGCAAGGUGCAAGAGCUUGAGUAUGCUGGGCUGCUCCGUGUUCCUUCUCCGAAAUGUGAUACUUCUAAGAACUUUGGACCUGUUUAUGUAAUGUUGGAAGAGGUAUUAAGCUGUGCCCGGGUACUUCAAAUGGUUGUGAUGGAUGAUACGUAUAAAGCGACAUGUGUGGAGGAUCCAAUUGCAAGGGAAGUUGCGGGGCUGAUUCAAAAUGAAGGGUUUUGGAAUGAGUUGGAUGCUGUAUAUUCGCUUGUGAAGCUGAUCAAAGAGAUGGCUCAGGAGAUUGAGGUUGAGAGGCCUUUAAUUGCACAAUGCCUACCUCUUUGGGAGGAUUUGAGGGGGAAAGUGAAGGACUGGUGUGCCAAGUUCAGCAUUGCUGAGGGACCUGUUGAAAAGAUUGUUGAAAAGCGAUUCAGAAAGAACUACCACCCAGCAUGGUCGGCUGCAUUCAUACUGGACCCUCUUUACUUGUUGAGAGACACAAGCGGAAAAUAUCUUCCACCAUUCAAAUGCUUGACACAUGAGCAAGAGAAGGAUGUUGAUAAGCUCAUUACCAGGUUGGUUUCCAUGGAAGAAGCUCAUGUUGCAUUAAUGGAGCUCAUGAAGUGGAGGUCAGAAGGGCUAGAGCCUCUUUAUGCUCAAGCUGUUCAGGUAAAAAAGCGAGACCCGGUUACUGGAAAGAUGAAAAUUGCAAACCCACAGAGCAGCAGACUUGUAUGGGAAACUUGCCUAAGUGAGUUUAAGUGUCUGGGUAAGGUUGCAGUGAGGCUCAUAUUCCUCCAUGCAACCGCUUGUUCAUUUAAGUGUAAUUGGUCUUCCAUGAAAUGGGUUUGUGUUCAUAGACACUCAAGGGUGGGCCUGGAAAGGGCCCAGAAAAUGAUAUUUAUUGCAGCUCAUGCCAAGCUUGAAAGACGGGAGUUUUCUAAUGAGGAAGAAAAGGACGCAGAGCUAUUUGCCAUGACUGGCAGUGAUGAUGAGAUGCUCAAUGAGGUCUUUGCCGAUGCACCCUCCUCAGUGGCUGGGUUUGAUUGAACUGGUUGGGUGAAUGGCAAAGCAGACUAGAGUCACCACAUUGGUCAACCUCAGAAGGAUUUGAGAGUGAAUUGUUCUAGCCAAAAGAAGCACUUCCUAUUGAUUUUACUCAACCAUAUCUCCUGGAGUGUCUUUUUUUAAAAUUGGAGAGCCCCACAAGAGGAGUGGAGGUCAAUCCCAGUGCUUUCGUCAUAGUCGAAGAAAAGUGAGAAACAAGGGGACUUCUUUCCCAUCAAUUCUCUCUCUGAUUUUUUGUUUUUUUGUUUAUAUUUUCAUUUAAGUUCUAUUAUAUCAUCUCAGGUAACUUACCUUUUAAACAUUCCAAAUUUCAUGACAUAUUACUCUUGAUUUGCGCCCUUUUGUAAACUUUUGAUCUCAACGUUGAAAAUUGAAGUUUUGCAGAGUAAUCUGAUAAGGCUUGUCAUGAUUACUAAAAAAAGUCUUGAGCAAAGUGGAAGCAAGGGAAACUGUCGGUCUGAGGAGGCACAUAAGAUGGCUGAAAGGGAUAUUGCAACGAACUUGAAAUUUGCAUGUAAAUUUUAGCCAGCAUUGUUGACUAGAAAGAGUAGGCUUGGAACUGGUUGGUGGAACAGAUAGGUCCUGAUAUCACUAAACAUGGUGGAAAUCUGGAAACUGGAAUCAUUCAAUCUGGUUUUGGAUCUGACAGGUCGCCUAUGCUAUUGCUAACCAUGAAGAAAAACAUAUAGUUAUAUUCUGACAAAUGAAUAAUACACAAUGCAGGCUGAAAUAGUAUAUGAGCAGUACAAUGAGUGUAUUUGCAUUUGCUACUCAAAUUUGGUGAACAGACACCGGAUCCUGUCGGCAACAUAGAGCAAUGCUGACUGCUCACCAACUUGGAAGAAAAGCUUUUUUCACUUGUAUGGUAUGGCUUCAUUGUUCAGCCCACUCAUGUUCUAGUUAAAAAGGGAAGGAGAUAUAAUGAUUAGUAUAGGACAAGACUCUCUUUCUACAAGAAUCUUUACCCUUUCAAUGUUCCCUCAUAAUUAACUUUCUUUUUUAUCAUCUCUCUCUUUUCCUUUCCACUUAUACCACUCUUGAUUGUUUUUGAAUUUGAAGGCCAUCCAUGUAAAGUAGAUGAUAUUGAAAUUGAUUGGUAGUAUUCAUUGCUGGUGACCCUUCUUUGCCUUCUCUAUG